rnacentral:rRNA from 1 species
UACGUAGGGGGCAAGCGUUGUCCGGAUUUAUUGGGCGUAAAAGGCUUGUAGGUGGCCACGCCAAGUCGGAUGUGAAAUCUCCCGGCUCAACUGGGAGGGGUCAUUCGAUACUGGCGGGCUCGAGGCCGGUAGGGGGAAGUGGAAUUCCCGGUGUAGUGGUGGAAUGCGUAGAUAUCGGGAGGAACACCUGUGGCGAAAGCGGCGCACUGGACCAUAACUGACGCUGAGGCGCGAAAGCUAGGGGAGCAAACAGG